rnacentral:lncRNA from 1 species
GGUCGAUUAGGGUUUUUGAUCAGCCGCUCUCCCCUCUGUUCCUUUUCUACCUUUGUUCAAUCUAGAAUUUUGAUAAUUGUCUCUCGCUCUUAUGAUCGUAUCCACCUACAACUUGAAAAUCAAUGUAAGAAUCCCAAUAAUCUUCCAUUAAUCAUCUUGAUUCUUGAGUUUUUAUGUUUGAUUGUUGAAUAUAUUUUUUCUUUUUUUCUUUUUGUUUUGCAUUCCUACGAUCUUAUCCGAUUGUAUGGUAUCAACAUUACUUCGAACCCUAAUUCGCAUCACUGAAAGAUCUUCAAUAACAAGAUGUCUUUUGAACCCACUUGCUCACGUAAAUCUUUAGUAUUACGUGUGCAUUUGAUGAAUCUUGGAAGACUUGGGAGCUCGGGGUGGAAUUAUUUCCGACGUUGGACUUCUUUGAGACACAAAUGUCAUCCACACCAAGGCGUGGUAAAAGCGAAAAGGAAGAAAGAUCGGUAAGGCUCAUGAUCAGAUAACAAAUCACCCGCGACAACGAAGGCUGCAUCCGAAUUUUUCCCCACAACUUCAGCACGUCAUAAAAGAGGUCAUAUCGCAGUGUGGUGACGUCGAAGUGAGCAACUGUAGUAGAGUCGGUGGUCUCAGAUGUUGGCGAGACAGGGGUUUAGGUCUGAAUUGCACUGAUGGUUGCUAAGGUGUGGAUGAUGCCGACGACUAGGGUUGUUGUCGAGUGUAGAUGGUGGUUGAUUGGAAUUUAGGCUUUUGCGCUAACUCUCCAUUGGAGUAGUCGAGAAUCGUCAUCAAUCAACAAACACCAGGUGAAAGCCAUUAAGCGGCUAUGAUGGGAUUUCUUGCUUUUUUUUUUUAUAAGAAAGGCGAUUCUAACCUUUGAAUGAUUACCUUUGGAUGGUGCGUUCAAUGGUCAUGUACUUGACUAUUGUUUUGCAAGGCUACCAUGGUUGUUGGGCUGGAUUUUGCACAUGAGCAUUUUUAUGUUUCUUGAGGAAUCGUCCUAUCUAGCCAUGAUGGAUUAUGUUUGAUAUCAAUGUCUAUGAUGAUUUGUAUGAGUUCAAAGAAACAUGAAUUUUUAUGUCUAUUGGUGCGACAACUAAGAUAUGAUCUACAUAUAUAAUGCUUACUUACACAAGCUGGUAACAUCUUUUCUAUCUCAUCCACUUGCAAGAUACAAGGUGAAAGGAACAGAGGAGAUGGCCACACCUUCUCAGAAAAUUAGAUGAAAAUCUAUAUAGCCCUGAAAAUUGGUUUUUAACAGCUUUGGUUUGGAGAAACAGAAGGCUCUUCAUCUUGGAAUGCUGCCACAGCCCAUGUCUUGACAGUGAUGGUUCGGGUCGGAUCAUGGAUAAACUUUGUCAACGACAUUCAACUACGGUCAAUCACAGUCAAGAGUGGUCCAUCUGAAGGUUGUUAUAGUUAAUAUCAUCCUAGGCACUCAUGUAUGGGCAGAAGACCUAGCAAUAUGUUGAGUGGUGGAGGUUGCGACUAAUUUUGUUGGUGAUCAUUCACGUUACAACCUUCUGAAUAGGAAAUCAUUUUUUUUUUGUGUUAUUUUUCUUGAUUCGUAAGCCAUCAUCCUCAUCUAUGCUUCUGUUUUGGGUUGCGACUGGACCUGAUAACCAAUUGGUUGCUUUAUGUGGUUUUAUUCGCUGAUGGUUUGCCCAGAGCCGAAUUUCGAAGGAGUCGUUUCUUUGACUGUUUUGGAAUGUGGAACAUCGGACUAGCGGAGUCAAACUACAAGGUUUUGACUACAUUAACGACUCAAAAGUAUUUGUUGUAAAUUUACCCUUGAGUAUGCUUAAAAGAAUUUGUGGUAUGGUGUCAAAAUGGGUAUUAGUGAGUCAAAACAACAGGCCGGGUGGAGUCAACCGGCAAACACCUUCUGUAUCUUUUUUUUUUUAAUUUGUAACUAAAUUUGUGUUAUAUUAAGCUUAUUGUCACUUCGUGUAUUAAACUUAUAUAGGGUGACUCACUUGAAGCUUGU